AUGAACGCUAGCUACAGGCUUAACACAUGCAAGUCGAGGGGUUCUGAUUAGAAGCUUGCUUUGGUUAAAGACGACCGGCGCACGGGUGAGUAACGCGUAUCCAACCUGCCCUUCAUAUUGGGAUAGCCUCUCGAAAGGGAGAUUAAUACCGAAUAACAUGAAAGAGUUGCCUGAUUUUUUCAUGAAAGCUCCGGCGAUGAAGGAUAGGCUCGCGUGACAUUAGCUAGAUGGCGGGGUAACGGCCCACCAUGGCGACGAUGUCUAGGGGUUCUGAGAGGAAGGUCCCCCACACUGGAACUGAGACACGGUCCAGACCCCUACGGGAGGCAGCAGUGAGGAAUAUUGGUCAAUGGUCUGACGACUGAACCAGCCAUGCCGCGUGAAGGAGACGGCCCUAUGGGUCUUAAACUUCUUUUGCGAGGGAGCAAUAAGGUCUACGCGUAGGCCGAUGAGAGUACCUCGCGAAUAAGCAUCGGCUAACUCCGUG
rnacentral:rRNA from 1 species